rnacentral:rRNA from 1 species
AUGAAAGCAAGUAGUUCAGGGCGCAUGGUGGAUGCCUUGGCUCACGGAGGCGAUGAAGGACGUGAUAAGCUGCGAUAAGCCGCGGGUAGGAGCAAAUAUCCCUUGAUCCGCGGAUUUCCGAAUGGGACAACCCGUCAGUCAGUCGGACUGACAUCUGUGCAUAAGUACAGAGGCUAACGCAGGGAACUGAAACAUCUUAGUACCUGCAGGAAGAGAAAAUAACAAUGAUUCCCCCAGUAGUGGCGAGCGACCGGGGAAGAGCCCAAACCGGCGUUGUGUCAACGCAAUGCCGGGG